UACGAAGGGGGCUAGCGUUGCUCGGAAUCACUGGGCGUAAAGGGUGCGUAGGCGGGUCUUUUAAGUCAGGGGGUGAAAUCCUGGAGCUCAACUCCAGAACUGCCUUUGAUACUGGCGAUCUUGAGUCCGGAAGAGGUGAGUGGAACUCCUAGUGUAGAGGUGGAAUUCGUAGAUAUUAGGAAGAACACCAGUGGCGAAGGCGGCUCACUGGUCCGGUACUGACGCUGAGGUGCGAAAAGCGUGGGGAGCAAACAGG
rnacentral:rRNA from 1 species